CUUCCAUCUGCCCAGAGAGGAGCAUCUGGAUCAAGGUGCUGGCCAUGUCCCAGCUGGUGGAAUGCGUCCCCAACUUUUCGGAGGGGAAGAACCAGGAGGUGAUCGACGCCAUCUCUGGAGCCAUCACACAGACCCCGGGCUGCGUGCUGCUGGAUGUGGACGCAGGCCCUUCCACCAACCGCACCGUGUACACCUUCGUGGGGCCGCCGGAGUGCGUGGUGGAGGGGGCCCUCAACGCUGCCCGGGUAGCUUCCCGACUUAUCGACAUGAGCAGGCACCAAGGAGAGCACCCCCGCAUGGGGGCCCUAGACGUCUGCCCCUUCAUCCCCGUGAGGGGCGUCAGCGUGGAUGAGUGUGUGCUCUGCGCCCAGGCCUUUGGCCAGAGGCUGGCAGAGGAGCUGGACGUGCCAGGCCUGACCGCCGGGCUCUCCUGCAGUUUACCUGUACGGCGAGGCAGCCAGGAUGGACAGUCGCCGGACCCUGCCGGCCAUCCGGGCCGGGGAGUACGAGGCCCUCCCUAAGAAGCUCCAGCAGGCCGACUGGGCGCCCGACUUUGGUCCCAGCUCCUUUGUCCCCAGUUGGGGGGCCACGGCCACGGGGGCGAGGAAGUUCCUCAUUGCUUUUAACAUCAACCUGCUCGGCACAAAGGAGCAAGCCCACCGCAUCGCGCUCAACCUGCGGGAGCAGGGCCGCGGGAAGGACCAGCCAGGACGUCUGAAGAAAGUUCAGGGCAUUGGCUGGUACCUGGAUGAGAAGAACCUGGCUCAGGUGUCCACCAAUCUUCUGGACUUUGAGGUCACGGCACUGCACACGGUCUACGAGGAGACCUGCCGAGAAGCACAGGAGCUGAGCCUCCCAGUGGUGGGCUCACAGCUGGUGGGCCUGGUGCCCCUGAAGGCUCUGCUGGAUGCGGCCGCCUUCUACUGCGAGAAGGAGAACCUCUUCAUCCUGGAGGAGGAGCAGCGGAUCAGGCUGGUGGUGAGCCGGCUGGGCCUGGACUCCCUGUGCCCCUUCAGCCCUAAGGAGCGGAUCAUCGAGUACCUGGUCCCUGAGCGCGGGCCUGAGCGAGGCCUGGGCAGCAAGUCCCUGCGCGCCUUCGUGGGGGAGGUGGGUGCCCGCUCUGCGGCCCCCGGGGGCGGCUCGGUGGCGGCGGCCGCUGCGGCCAUGGGUGCGGCGCUGGGCUCCAUGGUGGGCCUCAUGACCUACGGGCGGCGCCAAUUCCAGUCCCUGGACACGACGAUGCGGCGCCUGAUCCCGCCCUUCCGCGAGGCUUCGGCCAAGCUAACCACGCUGGUGGAUGCCGACGCCGAGGCCUUCACCGCCUACCUG
rnacentral:misc_RNA from 1 species